UUGUCAGUAUUGCAAUCCUCCUGAGAUUAGUCAGUGAAAGCGAGAGUUGAAUAAAGUAGACGGAGGAAAACAUGGGAGGAAAAUUCUUCUACCUUCUGGUAGCUUCAACUUUGAUAGCCUACUACAUCUACAGGCCUUUACCAGAGAAUGUGGAAGAACCCUGGAAGCUGAUGCUUUUAGAUGCUGGCUUUAGAAGCCUAAUACAUGCGGCCACGAUUGUAGAGAAGUUGGGUCUUGGACACUAUAUGGAUGUUAUAAACCUGUACACAAUUGCUACAUAUACACCACCUACAUCUGAUGAAAAAGUUAUUGUAACAGACACAAAAUUUGGCCAUGUUCCAGUACGUCUUUACAUUCCUACAAAGCAGUCAGAUGUCUUGAAAAGAGCAAUGAUUUUCAUUCAUGGAGGUGGAUGGUGUAUAGGAUCAGCAACCAUGAAAUCCUAUGACCUCUUAUCAAGAUGGACAUCAGAAAGACUAAAUGCUGUUGUGGUGUCAGUCGAUUAUAGACUAGCUCCAAAAUAUCGGUUCCCAGUUGCAUUUGAAGAUGCGUACUCAGUAGCAAAAUACUUUCUACAAAGCAGCAUCCUGGAGAAAUACAAUGUAGACGCAAGCCGAAUUGGCAUUGCAGGAGACAGCGCAGGAGGUAAUUUAGCUGCAGCUGUAACCCAGCAGGGGAGACAAUCCAAAAAUGGUGGGACUGCAACUAGAGCACUGUAGAGGAACUAGAUUAUCUAGAUCCAUUUCGGCCAGGUUUUUGACUUGGGUAACUCAGAGAGAAUGGGGUGAAAGAAGAGGAGAAAAAUUCUCAGAAGAGGCCAGUGGCAAAUCACUUCCAUAAUAAGAUCAAGAAAACUACAUGGAGCUAAGCUCAAGUUACAUUGUGCCAAAGAGGAAGCCUCCAGGAACUGAGAUAGAAUGCUGUACAAUCAAGCCAGGACUGUAUUAAGAAGGGAAAUCAGGGCAGCAAGGAGAAGCUACUCUGAAAAGCUGAGGAAUCAGCUCUCAACAAAUGAACCAGCAAAUGUGUGGAAAAGCCUUGAAAAUAUAACUGGCUACAGCAGACCUCCCUCCCUUACUGAAGGGGAUUGGCAAAUGGCAGAUGACUUGAAUGUGUUCUACUGUAGGUUUGAGAGGAGACCAUUGUCAACUAUCACUAGCCUCCCCAUCUCAGAUACACAACAACAGCCAAGUCUUCUACACCUGACUCCAUCUCUCUGGGUCUCCCACCUGUGAUGACCCUAGAAAAAGAGGUGUGAGAUCUAUUUCACAGACAAAAUACCAGAAAAGCACCAGACCCAGACAGAGUAACUCCUUCUUACUUAAAAGUCUGUGCUGAUCAACUGGCCCCAAUCUUCACCGGUAUCUUUAAUAAAUCACUAGAGAUGAAUUAUGUUUCUUCUUGCUUCAAACACUACUAUCAUCCCAGUGCCCAAGAAACCCUCCAUCAAGGAGCUGAAUGACUACAGACUGGAUGCUUUGACAUUUGUAGUUAUGAAAACCUUCAAAAAGUUAGUGCUGGCCCACCUGAAAAUCAUCAUAGUCUGCUGCUAGACAGCCUUGUAAUUUGCCUACCAUGCAAAUAGGUUGGCAGAUGACCAUUUAUUUCUCCCAUGCCAUCACUCUGCUAAACACCUACAGUAAUUCCUACAACACUGUCUUAUGUCUAAGGAUAUCUAACCAUGUAGUAGGGCUGAAUUAGUAUUAAACUUCUCAUCUUUCCUAUUACCUACUCAUGUGGUAUCUUAUAAUUUUCAUUUUUUGAUUGUAUGUUACAAUUUAUGAUUGUAUCUUAUGAUUUAUCCUGUUGCUUGUAUGUGCACUGAGAGCACCAGAAACAAAUUCUUUGUGUGUCCAAUAACACUUGGCCAAUUUCUGUUCUGUUCUAUUGACAUAGGGGUAAAAUUUCAAGGUUAAUUUCAUCAGCUAUGUAUGCUAAACCCAAAUUAAAAAAAUAGGAUAUUGCAUAAAAUAAAGAUGCCUUGGUAUCAUUACUAA